GUAUAGAACCUACCUUAUAUUGGGGGAUAGCCCAGAGAAAUUUGGAUUAAUACCCCAUAGUAUGCUGAAGUGGCAUCCUUUAGUAUUAAAGAUUUAUCGAUAUAAGAUGGCUAUGCGUUCUAUUAGCUAGUUGGUAUGGUAACGGCAUACCAAGGCUACGAUAGAUAGGGGUCCUGAGAGGGAGAUCCCCCACACUGGUACUGAGACACGGACCAGACUCCUACGGGAGGCAGCAGUGAGGAAUAUUGGACAAUGGAGGCAACUCUGAUCCAGCCAUGCCGCGUGCAGGAAGACUGCCCUAUGGUUGUAAACUGCUUUUAUAGAGGAAGAAACCCCCCGACGAGUCGGGUCUGACGGUACUCUACGAAUAAGGAUCGGCUAACUCCGUGCCAGCAGCCGCGGUAAUACGGAGGAUCCAAGCGUUAUCCGGAAUCAUUGGGUUUAAAGGGUCCGUAGCGGAUUUGUAAGUCAGUGGUGAAAGUUUGCGGCUCAACCGUAAAAUUGCCAUUGAUACUGCAAGUCUUGAAUCAU
rnacentral:rRNA from 1 species